rnacentral:rRNA from 1 species
AGAAUCAACGCUGGCGGCGUGCCUAACACAUGCAAGUCGAACGAGAAAGUGGAGCAAUCCAUGAGUAAAGUGGCGACCGGGUGAGUAACACGUGACUAACCUACCUUCGAGUGGGGGAUAACCUCGGGAAACCGAGGCUAAUACCGCAUAACAUCGCAAGAUCAAAGCAGCAAUGCGCUGGAAGAGGGGGUCGCGGCUGAUUAGCUAGUUGGCGGGGUAAUGGCCCACCAAGGCGAAGAUCGGUAGCCGGCCUGAGAGGGCGCACGGCCGACACUGGAACUGAAACACGGUCCAGACUCCUACGGGAGGCAGCAGUGGGGAAUUUUGCGCAAUGGGGGAAACCCUGACGCAGCAACGCCGCGUGGAGGAUGAAGCCCCUUGGGGUGUAAACUCCUUUCGACCAAGACGAUAAUGACGGUACUGGUGGAAGAAGCACCGGCUAACUCUGUGCCAGCAGCCGC